UCUCUCAAAAUAACAUCUUUGAACAAGUGAGCACCGUGAAGAGAGUGCCCCAGUUUGUCCUUAGACCACAAUCAUAUGAGGAACAAUAACAUCUUCCUUAAAUAUACAAACCAUUACUUUCCUUGUUAAAUUACCAUUAGGAGUGUUUUCUUCGCAAAAUAACAUCUUUUGAACAAGUGAGCACGUGAAGAGAGUGCCCCAGUUUGUCCCUUAUGCACCAAUAUAUGAGGAACCAAUACAAUCCUUCUUUAACACACCAUGCAUAAGUUUGAAAAGCCAAAGUUAAUAAAAAAAAAAGGUGUUAUUAAACUUCCCUCCUCCUUGUGAACACGAGGAAAGCUCUUCGUUCCUGACAGUGUGAUGAACUCCUUGAACGGACUCUUAUUGUUUUUGUUAUCAUUCCUAAAAUUGCAAACGCAUAGCUUAAUAGCACACAAGUCCUGUUUCUAAGAAAAGAAAUAUCUGAUAUAUAAUUGAUAGGAUUUAUUAAUACCUUGACAUCUCUCUGUGCCCAAUACUUGAAUAUAGUUGCUCCCACUGAUCAGCAUAUACCCCUCUUGUCUUUAUAGUUCAUUUGCUCUUCAAACUCAAGUACCAUUUGUAAUAAAUCCUCUCCAGUUCCCUUUCCCAAGUCUUUUAGCUUCUUUACCGGUGCACCUUUCAUCACCCAAAAGUUCUUGGCAAGACUGGAAGAUCAAACUGUGAUCGCAAAAAGUCGUUACACAAAUAUCAUAAAAGCAAGCAAGUCGGAUCCGUCAUUAAUAUUAAGCAUUCUCCUCAUUUAAAAAAAAAAGUGACCUAUCUCAAUGUGAUCCUUUGUAAUGUUUUGAACUGCCAUUAUAUGGUGCAUUUUUCCGAUCACGCACAAUUGUGCCAAUAAACAAGGAGAGCUUUGUUUCCUACUUAUCAUCAGGUUGGCCAUGUUCAUUCCAAUUGACUUGUAAGUGUUCUCCAUCAUGUGUACCCAAAUAUUGUGCAUUUGAUUAGUACCUCUAGUUUUCCUUUUGUUUACUAGCACCAUCAGGUAUAAUAAAAAUGAGAAGCCAUUAAUCAACAUAUUGAAAUCUUCCGUAAAUAACAUAUAAGAAAGAUGACUCUAACUUUACUGAGAAGAACCAUUCUUGCUCAUCGUCAAUAUCACAUCCAGUCUUUGUCCAGUAUCGUCAUCUCCAAUACAUGGGGAAGUGGUGCAUCUAUAGUUUGUACAUGCAUAUCUGUUUGGACCAAACUAAAUUAUUGUUCACAUCACCACUUUGUAUGUUGGCAAUGAUUAUCCAUUGACGCAUAUUUUUUGUGGAAACAUGUUACGAUUUGGAUGCAUAUGCACUUAGUGGAUGUACGUUUGUAGGAAUGAAUGUAACAACGUAGAAUUAGCUGAUUUUUAGUGUCUUUCUAGUCAAUAAAUGGUGACUGCUUCACAUAUUGAAUAGCAAAACCAUGUGCUUCUCUUUUGUGUCCCUUCAUCAAACGUGUCAACCCUCCCUUGCCAGUGUUGAGCAGCCAUUAUAAAUCAAGACACAAUCCCUUCUAUACUGUUACCUCCCAUCAAUUCAUAUUUCAAGGCGUUCAACUUAAACUUGGUCUCGACACCUUCCAUAUACAUAGACCAAAAUGUCAAGCAUUCAUCUGUGAGAUAUCCUAUCGCUAUACAACCCUCUGGUUUGACUUCUUUUCGACAAUAUGACUUUCAAUCUUAGCAAGUACCUAGGCUUGGACCAGAUCGGAAAGUUAUGAACUCUCAAUAAUGGCAUUAUUGAUGCAAACUAAUAUUGCAACCAAAUAAUAAGAUGGUGGUUUGAAUUUUAUAUGGCAAACAUUUACUGAAAAUAUUACCGCCAAAGAUACAUCCAUCUAUAAUCGAUAGGUCCUGCUUUCUGGCCUCAGUUGCUAAGUGAACCACCAAAUGCCCCAUAAUAUCAAAAAGUUAGGAGAAAAAUAUUAUUUCCAAUUGCCAAUUGUUAUUGGAAUUUGUCUUUCAGAGACGCAUAUAGUCUUGCACCCAGUCCACCUUAUAACAUAACUCUCAAAGAAAUUGCUCUAACUCAAUAGGGGUGAAAAUCACAUCGAACUCAAAUCUAAUCCUUAAUGCGAACUGGUUAUCCAUUCUCCCAUGAAUCCUUUAUUCAUCAAUCAAAGGUUGCAAAUAUACAUCAAUAUUCCUUCCAGGUGCACUGGGUCCAGGAAUAAUCGAUGACAUAUGAAAUUAGUUUGUUUCAUGCACAUCCAUGGGUAAUGAUAAGGUAUUAAAAGUACAGGUCAGGUGUUAUGCGUGCUGCUUACUCAUGUUUUAACAGGAUUCAUACCAGCACAUUGCUAAUUUACAAGGUCUAAACAUUUCAAACCAAUCAGAUUGAGAAGUCAGGAUCCAAGCUGGGAGAAUCAGUGGUCUCAUGGCAGCCAUCAUAAUGCCAUGUGUUGUAGCACCACUAUUUUCUUUUGUCUACCAUCACUACUAAAAAUUAGUUUUUGAUAACACUCUAUUUUUCUGUCCCUGCUCGGACAUGUUUUACUAUCAUGUGUUUGUAGCAUCCAAAAAUAAUGACUAGCAUUCACCAAAAAGUUGGAAAACUACCCAAAGGAAUCCAAUAAUUUUUUUCUGUAGAAAUACCCAAACAAUAAACUACUCUCAUGCAGCUUUUAACAUGCUCAAUGAUUGCUCUAACCUAUGGAAUCAGGCCAUUGAAAUAUCAAACCUUUUUAAAUCCAAAAGGAAAAGUGUUUACCACCUUUUUUGGUAUCUCUACCAAGAGAUAUUACAAUUCUUUAAACUCAGAUCCCUUAUUCGAGGUGAUGUCAUUUUUCUAUUGAAGCCCAAGGAAAGGAAAUGUAUAAUCCAUUUAAUCUGAACAACCAAACAAAUGAAUAAAAAAAAAAAAAUCCCCCAAAAAUUCAACACAAAACAAGUAAAGGAAAAACCAAAGGAUAACAUGACUACAUGAAUCAAAAAAAUAAAAUUUGACAAAACCUCAGGUUACCUAGAAAUAUUUUACCAUGCCAAUCAUCACAAUCAACACAAUUGAAACCAUAUUACUCAAGUAAAAAAAAAAACAGUCAUAAAACACAUCAAGGAAGGAAAGAAUCUUUAGAUUAUAAAAAUGAAGAUGAAAGAAAGGCAAGGAUCUUUUUUCAUAAAAAAUACCGAAAUGAAAACAUAUUAAUUCCAGACAAAAAACAGCCAUAAAACCACAUCCAAGGAAGGCAAUAACACAGUAUAUUUGGAUCAAACGAGCAGCUUUUAAAAACCAAAUAACAGAAGUAAACACUUGUGAAACACAAUUCGUGCAGGAUAGUUCAAAAACAAUCUCUCCAUAAAACAAAAUUGUUUGGUAUGGGUACUAUCAUUACCUAUAGGAAGAGAGAAAAUGUGUAGCAAAAUGGAUUGAUUUUACUAUGCCAUUAUAAAUCAAGACAAACCCAUUCUUUUUUCCUUUUUUCCUAUAUAAAACACAUCAAAGGGAAGGCAAAUAGCGGGGUAUUAGUGGAUCAUAAGAUGAACACCUUUUUAAAAGAGGCAUUAGAUCAAAAAAAUGAAUCAGGGUAAAGAAACUCUAAAAGAAUGGAGAGGGAAAAAAUACACUUCAAAAGCAAAAUACUUGCAAUCCUAAGAAAAAAAACCCAAAAAAGGCAAGGGAUUGAAGGGAACUGCAGAGUUAGGCUAAACCGGAACAAAACUCGCCCAAAUUAAAACCCCACAUAAGAGUCGGGUUUAUCCGCUUUGUCUACGCAAGAAGACGGAUGGGAUGGGAAAUGAUAGAGCUUCAACGGGUGUGAUAGGACAGAGGUUCGAUUCGACCGAGAUGAGAAGAGGAACUUCUUAUAGUUGUCUGACCUAAUAUGUGCUCUAACGGAUGAAAAGGGUUUUGGAUUUAAUUAAUGGCUGAGAUUUGCAUACUAUUCACUUGACACAUUUGGGGCGGGUUAAAGUGAGAGGCCAAGAACAAAUCUGACGUUGCAUUGAAAGGCAAGCUCUAUCACAGCCAUUGAAAACAAGUUUCUCUCUAUGUAGUUGAAAAGUAUGAGCUCGCUUAUAUAUAGAUUUGCUUCUAUCUAAGUUGGAGCAUCUACAAACAGCUAGCAAAAACCAACUUUUAAACUACUUCGGCAGCUUGAAGUUGAAACCAUAAAAUCACCUCCCACAGCCUCGCUGAGGCUCACUGUUUUCGCAUGGAGCUACAGUUGGUGAGCUACUGUUGACAAGGCAAUAAAAAAUUUUUUUUUUUUUUUUUAUAUUUUCCACUCUCUUUCAUCAGUUCCUAGCCACCUCUGAGAUUCCUCUGUUCGUAGAAUAUAAGCUAUCCAUCCCCCUUUGAAGGCAAAAAGCCAUAAAUUCUCGGAGAACUAAAAAAAAAAAUCAUCUCCUCUUAUCUCUCCACACAAACCACACACACACACAAAUACACACAGAGAACUCUCACAAAUUUUGGUAGAUUCUUCUCCAUCUCCCCUUCUCCUCUAUAUAGUGCUGGGGAUUGCACAUGGGGCUAUGUAUUACUACAAAUUAAUUAUAUGGUUAAAAAAGUGACUAGGUUUCACAUUUCAAUUUAACAAAAGAUAUAGAAUUUGUGGAUUGGAAUUGGUAAUUAUUCUGAUAAUAUGCAGAGUUCGGAUUGAGUGUGUUAAAGGAUAUAGAGUGUAAAAUAAGAGCAUUGCUGGAGAUUUUUACAAAAAGGGAUAGUUAGCAUAGAAAAUGCAUUUUUGCCUAGCUAGUUUAGACACAACUGCUGCAGAUGCUCUUACAAGGUUAGAAAAUAAGAAUGCAGAGUGAAAAAAAGAGAAAGAAAGUAUGAAAAAAGGCAUGCACACAUACAACAAUUAAUGGUGGGUAGAAGACACCUUUACAUGAGAGGCAAGGGGGAAACAUUACUAGUUCAACCUAAACAAAGCUUGAAAAGAAAUCAAAGUACAAAUAUCAAUUAUUUGUAAUCUAUUCCAAGAAAAAUGACAAUAUACAAGAUGCAAAUAUGUCAUACCUUCCCUUCCUCAAAAAAUUGGCAUUCCACCAAGAGCAUGUUGCAAUGAGUGAGUGAGUUUGCUAUCCCGAUACGGAAGGUGUCCCUGAAUUACCAUUAUUUUGAUUCAUUUAGACGUGGGUGCUCAUAAUAUGGGUUUCAAACAGAACAAGAAAAAUACCUUGGCUUUUGAGCCACACUUAGUUUGUUAAUCACAUUGCAAAAACCAUUAAGCUCUAUUAAUAAUGUUUACCUUCCUUCAAACGAACUCCACAGCGCGUGGAUUGUUACAAUCCGGCACAACCUGCUAAAUCAACGAAAUUCUAGUUAUGUAAGAAAAAGAAAAUACAAAAAAUAGUAUAAUUAGAAUAUGAAGUGUAAAAAAGUAGAGAGAGACCAUUAAAAGCAAGAAGUAAAGGAUGAUAUAUUAAAUAAAAUAAUAGUACUUUAAUGGUGACCAGACUUAAAACACAAUACAACCAACACAGAAACUUGAAUACAUCAUCUGAAUCUUGAAUAAAAACUAGUACUGGUCUCCUCCUGCUUACCUGGUAAUAUCAAUAUGAAAUCAUUGAGUAAAGAUAUAAAGAAACAAAUCCCCACAACAAGAAAGCAAUUUCCCAAAAAAGCAUACCAUCUUAAAUAUUGUGUGAGAUCUAUACUUCGAAUAUUCAUAUCUAUCUCACCCAAGUGCCCAUUAACUGUGAGAAGCAAUUACAAACUAUAUUUUAGCAAUAAAUGAGAAAGAAUGGAAUUAGUAAACAUGCUGAAGGACCUAUUCUAAAUGCGGACAGUCAAACCUCCUUUGGACCGAAUGACCUUAAGGACUUGUACUAUACGCAAUUCCUCCCUAAGACCUGCAACAAAGGACUUAACAAUAGAGAACAAGAAAUACCAAUGUUUUAUAUUUCGAGAAAACUUGCAAAAAAUGUUUAACGUCUCUGUUAGUACGCACUCCAAACACUCGUGAAUUGAAGAUUUUGGUUCUCACACAAACAAAAGGAUAAUUAAUCUCAUCAUUAUAGAUUUAUAUGUUACUCCCUUCACCCUCAGGAAAUCGCAUCAGAAACCAGCCACGGUGGAUGCAAGAAGAAGCAUGACAGUCAUGACAAUGUAAUUCAAUCAAAAAAUAGUAAGUAAGAUACACAAAAUAAGUAAGACAUAGCAGAUAUUAUAAAUUAAUAAAAUAAACAUUAAAUUUUGAGUAGAUAUAUCUUUCAUGCUCAGUGAAUUAAUUCCAGGGUCAUUUUCGGCUUGAUAUGCCCCUUUGUACAUUUAAAAUCUUGGCAAUCUUCAUCACCAUUGUUCCUUACCUGGGCAAAAUAUGAAGUGUUGCAUGUUAAUUGAACCUUACUCUCUCUGAUAUAUUCAGGAGGAUUCAAGUCUCAUAGGUGAUAUUGAACUAAAGUUUAAAGACUUUGAUUGGUUCUUCACAAUCUGCAAUCACGAUUGUUAUUGAAAUGUGGGGGAAAGUUAAAAAAACAUAUGAAAACCCAAUUGAAAUUAGACACAGAACUCAGAAUGACUGAACAAAGAGAAAGUAAUACACUAUAAAAGACUUGAAAGCUGAAAUGGUAUCAGAAAAAGGGUCAUUAUAUGCACAGGCGGACCAAAAGUUCUACACCAAUCUUCAUAGCAAUUGUUAUUAACAGGAUGGAAACAUGUAUAUGAAGAACAACUUGAAAGUGGAAAAACCCAAUAAUUGGUCGAAGGAAAGAGAAGUAUGAAUUGUUUUCAAUUGUUAAUUCAAAAUGGGUGUGUGCAUAAUUGAAAAGAUGAAAGUGUAUCAGAGAAUAAAAAAACUCAAAACUCAGAAACACACACCAAAACUUUCACGCACUUCACUGUGAUUGUAUCUAACUGCAAUAACACAUGAAAAACCAAUGAAAGUAUAAACAAAACAUAGAUUGGUGGAAAAAAGAUAAUGCAUAAAUUCUUAUCUAGUUUAAUUCAACAUAAGAUAAUAAGACUUGAAUCCGAAAUCGUAUCAAUAACAGACCACCCACCAAAAUCCCUCCGAUGUGAUGGGGCAGGUCGUGACGAUCAAGUGAGAGAUGGGGGACAGUGUGGAUUCGGUUCAACCACUUAUUGAGGAGAGAUUCGGAAAGGCGUAAAAUUCAUGAGAAAGAAUGUAAGGAAUCGAUGAGAAGGUUAGUUCAAAAUCAUUAGGACGCAGAUCGUAUCAAGAUGGAAGAACAGGCAUGAGAACAGAAGCAAUGCGGGAUGGCGUCCAUCCACCAAAAUACAGAGAGAUUGAAGUACAUGCUUCAAGUUUUGACGAGAGAGUUUUUAAGGAGGAAAUUGACCGUGCGGAUAGACGCUCCAUCGUUGGAUAUCGGCCUCUCUCAAGAAACCACAGACUCAUGAGUCCAAGGGCUGUCCAGAUAGUUAAGAAUUUUGUGUUAACACACCUUGGAUUGGGCCAGCCUUCACAAAAUAUCGGCCAUGAUCUGUCCAUGUGACGGACCGGUACAGUAUAGUUUAAACAUCAAUACAUUCGACACAACAGUAAUUUCACCAUAAUUUCAUUUUAAACCUUUCAGUUGCGCGUCCGCCGUCCGCCUAAAUGAUAGUUUAAAGAUCAAUUACACGGUUGACCCACACUCCUUUCACCAUAAUUUCAUUGUAUAACUUUCACUUGCACAUGUGUUCAUAAAAUCUCAAUGUGGUCGUCGUCUAUUACACAUCAUUUAAUUAAGAACUCAAAGUGACCUUUUGUUAAGGUCACAUAACAUCUUUUGAUCAAUUAAUUGAAAAACAAAUAGACAAAGUGUCACGCUGACAUAAUAUAAGAGGGUAUUUGGUAUAGUUAAACUUAUGUUAUAAUUGCUUAUAUAAAAAUGUAAGUUGAAAACUUCAAAAUGGAGCUUCAAGAAAUAGUUAUUUUCCAGCCUUUUAAGGUUAUUUUUGACUCAUAAGUAAAAGCAAAACUGUGCAAAAAACACUAUAGCACAACUUUCAAAAAAAAACUAUUGCUUAUAAACUCUGUCAAAUAAACACUAAAUGGUUGACUACAAAAAUUGGUCUAUCAAAACCUUCUUAAAUUCAAACUAUUAUAUCAAAACAUCUCUCCUAUUUUCUAUCUUUGUACCUUACUAACAAUUGGCCAAAAAAAAGGAGAGAAUUAGUGGAUAAUCUACCUAUUGGUGAUUGUAGCAUGCUUAGUUGGGUUGCAGAUUUAUAGUCCAUAAUUGAUAAGCUUUAUAAUCAAAAGCUCAUUAUUUUUUUUUAUGUAUAGACAAUAUUACCUUUUAAUUAUAAAUAUAUUUACUUAGUAUUAAUUUUUUAAUCAAAAAGAAGUGUCAACACAUCAGAAUCAUCGUCAACCGUCUCCGACGACUUUCUAGCGACCCCUGGUGUUAAUUUUUCAGGUAAGUUUUUUUUUUCAAUCUUUCCAAAGAUAAAAUUUCACUAUUUGUUUUUAGUUUUUUAGAAAUAGAUAUCACUAUUCAUUUUUGAAAAGUCAAAUACUAAAGUUUUACUCUUCGUUUUUUCGUUUUUUGAGAUAAAUUCAUCUUCGAAAAGUUCACCGAAAAACUAGUCGGCAACUAACUAUUAAAGAGGUCACUGUCCACGGUGCGGUGGCUGGACUUGUAGGGCUGAUGGAGGAUGCAGUGAAAAAUAGGGAAAAUAGUAGAGUGUGCAAGAGUAUUUUUUGUCUAAUGUAAUCAAAAUAGAGUUUUGCAUUAGAUAUUUGUGAUAUGGAUCAAUUGAGUUAAGUAUUAGUCACUAAUCACUAUGUACCUCAGGAGUCAGGCUUUGGAUCCUCUAUACCAUUAGUCACUGUUGACUUCAAAAUAUGACACUUAUAUCCCAUUCGUUACUAAUUUAUUUGAAAUAAUUAUGAAAAUCGAUCACGCAUUGUCAAUGUGGUUAAAUUAAAUAUCUUUAUAUCUAAAAUACCAUUAUUUUUUAUAAAAAAAAAUCAAUCACAUACACAGAUUUAUUCGUCAUUGUGUUAAUAAAUAUAGCCCUAUUAAGAAAUUUUUUCAAUAGAGCAUUGAUUUUAUAAGCUUUAAACUAAGGAGAAUUUCUAAAAAGAAAAACUGGGUUAAAAACAUUCAGGUCUCCCUAGGGUGGAGGGAUUUAUGUUUUUUAGAAGGGGAAAAUAUAACUUUUCAAUUGGAAGUGGUUCUACAAGCAAUGUCUUCGCCCCCGCCCACUUUGUCCCCCUUGUCUCCCUGCGAAAUUACCUUUAUCCCCCCUCCCUUUGUUGGGGUUUUUUUUUUUGAAGCAGCUCUCUUCUUACAAUUGUGGUCUAACGUGAUUUUUUAAGCAAAGUCAGGGACGUUUGAGUUAAUAGAUGGUCGACGUGUGGCAAGUUGUUGCUAUUGUUGAGAAGUAUGCGAAUAACACAACCUUGCAUAAUGGGACGGUCCAGAUACAGAAUAGAUCAACAGUACAGAAACGGACAAAUGUACGCGUUUUUGAUUGCCGCUCCACCCGCCAAAUGAUUACUACCACGAGGAAAAAAAACCCAGAUAGGAAAAUGGACCACAAGCUUUUAUUCAUGAAGCUAGGGGUGUCAACGGUCCGGAUUGAUCCAGAUUAGUAUGAAUCCACGGACCGAACCAAAAGUUACGGUUUAAGGAAAUAUAAUAUCCGUGUGCAAAAACCAACAAUCUACGGUUCGGUUUUUCAAAAAAAAAUAAAAAAUUCACGGUUCGGAUCCGGUUAAUCCACGGAUUUUAUUUUCACGAAUUAAAAAAAAUUAAAAUUCAUGGUAGCACCAUAACAAGCUGUACAAUUAGCGAUCAAAAAAUAAAUAAAGUAGCAAGUAAAGAACAAAUUGAAAGACUAAAUUAAUUGAAAACCUUGAUGCAUUUGUAGAUGACCUAAUGGACCAAUUUAUACAACUAGGUUAAAUGAGUUUUAGUCCAAAUCACCAAAAAAGAUAUGUUACACUUUGUAAAUAAAAAUUACACUUCUAAUUUUUUUGUAAGUGCAAGUUGUUUAAAAAUACAAAAUAAAAACGUACACUGGUUACCCCUAACUUCUAUUUAUACCACAUUGAAUAAUUUAGAGUAAAAUAAGUAACAAUUAAUAAGUUAACAAUUACACUGCUAAUUUUUAUCCUAAUAUUUUAUAAUAUUAUAUAUAUAUAUAUAGAUAUAUAUAUAUAUAUAUAUAUAUAUUCAUUAUGAUAUUUAAAUUCAUGGUCCGGUUCGGUGAAUCCACGGUUGCUUAUGAAAAUCCAUGGAGCCGCACCACGAAUUACGGUUUUUUUUUUAAUUUUUUUAAAUCCGGGUCCAGAUCAUUAAUCCCUGGACCCAACAAAAACCUACAGAUCGGUUCGGAUCGGAUCGGUUUCGUGGUUCGCGAAUAUUUUUUGGACAGCCCUAAUGAUUAGCUGUUUUUCCAAACCCUGAGACUGUUGUGACGAGUGUAAUUAUUUUUUAAAUUUUAGAAUAUAUUUUUUUUCUCGUCUCUCUUUUACUUAUUAAUUUUUUUUAAUUAUGACCUUCUGUGAGGGAUUUAAAAAAAUUAAUAUGUGUGGUACUUUUCAUAUUUGUGUGGGUGAGGGAUGGAAAAAAAUUAUUUGUCUUUUUUGUGUGUAGGGGUACCAUCACCAUUAGAGAAAAAAAUAUUAUUCAUAUAGAUACAUGUUAAGUAUUCACAUCGUCUCCCUAGAUUUCAGUUAAAUUAUAAAUAAAAAAUAGCAUUUUAAUAAAACACUAUCGGCGGCUCUCUGUAGAAAAGAAUGAAAAAGUAGAUAUCAAAUGAAUAAUUUGUAUCUUUUUACUAGAAAUAGCAGUUAAAGUUAGAUUUAUGGGUAUUUGGCCAGCCUGAUAUUGAUAUUUUUUUUAAAAACUUAAUAAUUAAUAUAGAAUUUACUACUGUAUUGAUAUGUUAAAAAUUAUUAUUGUUCUUAUGUGUUUUUAUGAUAAAUCAAUUACAAAAAAGCAUAUUAAUUUUCAAGGAUAAUAUUAAAUAACAAAUCUAAAAUUUUGAUUUAGUAUUUAAAAAAAUUUAUGUUACUUAGAUUGGCAUUAAAUUUUAUAAAUUGAGUAAAUUUUUUUUUAAAAAAAUAUUAUAAAUUUAAUUCAAUAUUUUUUUAUAAAAAUAUAAGAUGGGAGUAAAAUAAAUUAUAAAAUUUUAUUUAAAUUUGUUUAUAAAAAAAUUUAAAAAGUGAAAGUUAAAAAAAAAAAUUAAAAUUAAGGGGUAUUAAAAGAAAAUAAAAAAAUGGUUGAAUGGUAAAAUAGUAGUUUGAAAAUUUAAGAGAGAAAUUCAGGCUAAAAGUGAAAAGUAAAAAAAAAAUAGUCGCGUCAGUGUGUUGUGUGAUUGUCGGCGGGGCUGGGAACAAUAUCUCUUUUUAUUAUUUGGAAAUGAUUCGAUUGGCAUACUUUCCUUUUUUUAAAUUGUGUUUAUUUUUAUUUGAUAAAAUUAUCAAAAAUUUUUUAAUAUUUAUAUUUUUAGAUACUUUGGCUCAAAACGGGUAAACUAUGCUAAUGACAUUUAAAUAAUUUCAUACUAAAAAUAAAAAAUACCAAAGAGAGAAAAGCGAGGGAUUGUUAGGUAAUUGUGUAAUUUAUAUUUUUAUUAAUUUUGUUCUUUGGUAUAAAUAUAAAUAUAAUUUAUUUGUCUUGCUAGUUUAAAUUAAAAAUAGGUUUGGUUACAAUAUUUUACUAUUGCUUAAAAUAGUUAAAAACACCAAAAUAUAGAUUGUUGAUUGUUUACAACAUUAUUUCGACUAAGGCAUUAUUCACGCGCGCACGGUCUCCACACCCGAGUUACCGUCUUCACCAUUGCCGCCGAAUCGUCGCCACAACCACAUACACCGCCACCUCCACGCCAAGAUCUUCCAUCUCCACACCAUAUGUUAUUUUUAAAUAAUUUAAAAAAGGUGUGGAAUACAAAUAUCUUUUUGGUUUAUGUUUUACAAAAAAAUAAAUAAAUCUAAACAAAUAAAAACAAAACAAAAAAUAAAAGUGGCAAAUUACCAAAACAUCCCCUAGUGUGUGAAAAUUAUCACUCAAUUAUUUUCAAAACAUCCAAAAACUAAGGUAGGUUGUGUUGUCUGGGUGAACAACUAAUAUACUAAUGUGUGAUCUAAAAAUCACACGGUAGUGGUGGUAAAAAUGCAAGUUUUUUAGCCCCAUACACGCAAAAAAAGUAAAUGAAAAUGAAAAAAAGUCCAUAAAAAGUGGAAUAUUUUAGCUAAAAAAAAUGCAGUCCAAAAUAGGCUUAGAAAUAUAACAGAACCCUUGAUUCUCGAAAGUUUUUUAAAUUAAAUUGAGUGAUCUAAAAUUUUUUUUUUUUUUUUUUUUUUUUUAAAUUUUUUUAUCAUGUGACCCCAUAUACGACAAGGAAUUUAAAACUGUUAUUGGAAUUUAAAAAAAACUUUUAUUCAUCAAAAUUAGGAAGGCAGGGCUAACACUUCUACAGUAAGCGCCUUACGUGCACAAUUUGAAUAAAAUUUGUGCUCCCAAGUGUUUACUACAUUUAUAAAGGUUCAAUUUUUUUAAAAAGAACUUAGUAAUGACGUAAUUUAUAAAGCCCAGAUAGCAAAAAGUUAGGGGUACAAUUUUAUUUUGUAAUUGUUUUUCACAA
rnacentral:lncRNA from 1 species